UACGUAGGUGGCAAGCGUUGUCCGGCAUUAUUGGGCGUAAAGCGCGCGCAGGCGGUUUUGUAAGUCUGAUGUUAAAGCCCGGGGCUCAACCUCGGUUCGCAUUGGAAACUCUGGAACUUGAGUGCAGAAGAGGAAAGUGGUAUUCCACGUGUAGCGGUGAAAUGCGUAGAUAUGUGGAGGAACACCAGUGGCGAAGGCGACUUUCUGGUCUGUAACUGACGCUGAGGCGCGAAAGCGUGGGGAGCAAACAGG
rnacentral:rRNA from 1 species